rnacentral:rRNA from 1 species
AUUCCAGCUCCAAUAGCGUAUAUUUUAGUUGUUGCAGUUAAAAAGCUCGUAGUUGAAUUUCUGGUGGGAAGAUACGGACGGCCUCAUGGCUUGUUCCAAGUCUUCCGGCCAUCCCUGGGUGGAGCUCGUCUGGCAUUAAGUUGUCGGGCGGGGGAUGCCCAUCGUUUACUGUGAAAAAAUUAAAGUGUUCAAAGCAGACUUAUGUCGUUGAAUAUAUUAGCAUGGAAUAAUAAGAUAGGACAGCAGUGCUAUUUUGUUGGUUUGCGCACCGUUGUAAUGAUGAAUAGGGACAGUUGUGGGUAUUUAUAUUCACUUGUAAGAGGUGAAAUUCUUAGAUUAAGGGAAGAUAAACUACUGCGAAAGCAUUUACCAAGGAUGUUUUCAUUA